rnacentral:rRNA from 1 species
CCUACGGGAGGCAGCAGUAAGGAAUCUUGCGCAAUGGGCGAAAGCCUGACGCAGCGACGCCGCGUGGGCGAUGAAGGCCUUCGGGUUGUAAAGCCCUUUUCUGGGGGACGAGGAAGGACGGUACCCCAGGAAUAAGUCACGGCUAACUACGUGCCAGCAGCCGCGGUAAAACGUAGGAGGCAAGCGUUAUCCGGAUUUACUGGGCGUAAAGCGCGCGCAGGCGGUUCUGUAAGUUGGACGUGAAAUCUCCUGGCUCAACUGGGAGGGGUCGUCCAAUACUGCGGGACUUGAGGUCGGGAGAGGGAAGCGGAAUUCCCGGUGUAGUGGUGGAAUGCAUAGAUAUCGGGAGGAACACCAGUGGCGAAGGCGGUCUCCUGGCCCGUUACUGACGCUCAGGCACGAAAGCGUGGGGAUCAAACAGGAUUAGAUCCCCCUGUAGU